ACGCUCGACACCUACUGGAGGCAGCAGUCGGGAAUAUUGCGCAAUGGAGGAAACUCUGACGCAGUGACGCCGCGUAUAGGAAGAAGGUUUUCGGAUUGUAAACUAUUGUCGUUAGGGAAGAGAAAGGACAGUACCUAAGGAGGAAGCUCCGGCUAACUACGUGUCAGCAGCCGCGGUAAUCUGAGCGGGCUGGCAAGGC
rnacentral:rRNA from 1 species